rnacentral:tRNA from 1 species
CGGAGUGUAGCUCAGUCGGUAGAGUACUGCGUUCGGGACGCAGGGGUCGCUGGUUCGAGUCCAGUCACUCCGA